GCAGUAGCCACGGUAAUACGAAGGGGGCUGGCGUUGUUCGGAUUUACUGGGCGUAAAGCGCACGUAGGCGGACUUUUAAGUCAGGGGUGAAAUCCCGGGGCUCAACCCCGGAACUGCCUUUGAUACUGGAAGUCUUGAGUAUGGUAGAGGUGAGUGGAAUUCCGAGUGUAGAGGUGAAAUUCGUAGAUAUUCGGAGGAACACCAGUGGCGAAGGCGGCUCACUGGACCAUUUCUGACGCUGAGGCGCGAAAGCGUGGGGAGCAAACAGGAUUAGAUACCCGCGUAGUCCCUGUCUCUUAUAC
rnacentral:rRNA from 1 species